rnacentral:lncRNA from 1 species
GUGUUCACUGGGCAAAGGGAACAAAGAGGCACUUGGCUCACCCUAGAUCAAGAGGAGAGGCUCUCCAGAUUUGCUGACCUAGAAGGAUAAGUCUGAAAUACCCUUGGCUGUGUACAUUUGAGUAAAGAGAGCACUAUAAAAUCAAAAACCAAUGAAAUGGUUUCCAGAACACAGAACUAUUAAGCUUAAGAAAAGGACAGAAGGAACUGAAGAGAGAGGAACUGUUUUGGAGCAUCACACUUCCACCUCAGAAGAAAUAAGGAAGGAAGGAGGAGGGUGUUCCCACGGCUCUUCAACCAGGCCGGCUCUUCAGCCUACAUCCCCAUCUCAUCAAGUAAAAGGGAUUUUUCAACUGGACCAACCAGAUGGUUUAACAGUGCACUCCCACACCAUUCAACUACGCAAGGGAGAUACACUUAACAUAUGCAGUCGUAUAACACCUACUAACAUUUUCAAACAUUAAACCUUUAAAAAAGAGUUCUAAAGAAAUAGAAGCUUGAAGUAUCAUCUCUCAAGUAUAUAGACACUACUUCAUGGUGUGGUAAUAUAUGCAUAUAGAAGCUAGUAAACACCUCCAGGAGAUGCAAAAGGAAUUAGAACUGCCACAAGGUGCAAGCA